rnacentral:rRNA from 1 species
UAGGGAAUCUUCGGCAAUGGGGGGAACCCUGACCGAGCAACGCCGCGUGAGUGAAGAAGGCUUUCGGAUCGUAAAGCUCUGUUGUUCAGGAAGAACGAGUGUGAGAAUGGAGAGUUCAUACUGUGACGGUACUUAACCCGAAAGGGACGGCUAACUACGUGCCAGCAGCCGAGGUAAUACGUAGGUCCCGAGCGGUGUCCGGCUUUAUUGGGCGUAAAGCGAGCGCAGGCGGUUCGAUAAGUCUGAAGUUAAAGGCAGUGGCUCAACGUUUGUAGGCUGUGGAAACUGUUUAGCUUGAGUGCAGAAGGGGAGGGUGGAAUUCCAUGUGUAGCGGUGAAAUGCGUAGAUAUAGGGAGGAACACCGGUGGCGAAAGCAGCUCUCUGGGCUGUAACUGACGCUGAGGCACGAAAGCGUGGGGAGCAAACAGG